GAGUUUGAUCGUGGCUCAGAACGAACGCUGGCGGCAGGCUUAACACAUGCAAGUCGAACGCGUGUAGCAAUACACGAGUGGCGCACGGGUGAGUAACACGUGGAUAUCUGCCUUUUGGUUCGGGAUAACCCUGGGAAACUAGGGCUAAUACCGGAUGGUUCCUACGGGAUAAAGAUUUAUCGCCAAAAGGUGAGUCCGCGUCCGAUUAGCUAGUUGGUGGGGUAAUGGCCCACCAAGGCGACGAUCGGUAGCUGGUCUGAGAGGACGAUCAGCCACACUGGGACUGAGACACGGCCCAGACUCCUACGGGAGGCAGCAGUGGGGAAUAUUGGACAAUGGGGGCAACCCUGAUCCAGCCAUGCCGCGUGAGUGAUGAAGGCCUUCGGGCUGUAAAGCUCUUUUGGCGGGGACGAUGAUGACGGUACCCGCAGAAUAAGCCCCGGCUAACUUCGUGCCAGCCGCCGCCGUAAC
rnacentral:rRNA from 1 species